UGCUAUGAUGGUGUAAUUUGCGUCUUAUUCUGUGCACAGCAACAGUUGCCUGCUGUUAUAAGCUGGUACGGAUAAAUGACGAACACUUGGUCUGAGCA